AUGAGGGCUGCAGCAGGAGUUGCCCCUGUAUCUGCCUCAGCCCUUUCUCUCUGCUCCCCAACAGGCCCUGUGGAUGCUGAAGUCACUCAAAGCCCCAGACACCUGGUCAAAGCAAAGAGUCAGCCAGUGACCCUGAGAUGCUCCUAUGAAUCUGGACAUGAGUCUGUGUACUGGUACCAACAGGCUGUGGGCAAGGGCCCUCGUUUCCUCAUUCAAUAUUUCAGUGGCAAAAUGAGAGAAAAAGGAGACAUCCCUAAACACUUCUCAGUCCAACAGUUCAAUAAGGACUUCCGCUCUGAGCUGAGCGUGAGCUCCGUGGAAGUGGCCGACUCUGCCUUGUACCUCUGUGCCAGCAGCUUAUCACAGCCCUGCCUGCUCAGCUGCCUCCUGCACAAAAACACCCCUGGCCACCCAGGAAGUGGCAGUGAGGGAGGCUGCCAGGCGGCAGGGCUCAACCUGUAA